rnacentral:rRNA from 1 species
UAAUUCCGGUUGAUCCUGCCGGAGGUCACUGUUAUCAGGUUUCGACUUAGCCAUGCGAGGCGUGAGUCAUCUGGACUCGCCGAACUGCUCAGUAACACGUAGCUAACCUACCCUCAAGUGGAAGAUAAUCCUGGAAAACUGGGGCUAAUAUUCCAUAGCUGUUAAAUGCUGGAAUGCUUUAACAGUCAAAGCUUCGGCGCUUGAGGAUGGGACUGCGGCUUAUCAUGGCAGUUGUGAGUAUAAAAUACUCACAAACCUAUAACGGGUAGGGGUCAUGAGAGUGGGAGCCUCGAGAUGCCUUCUGAGACAUGAAGGCAGGUCCUACGGGACGCAGCAGGUACGAAAAC